AUUAGUUUACUAUUGGAGCGGUUAGUGGCGGACUGGUGAGUAACACGUAAGCAACCUGCCUAUCAGAGGGGAACAACAGUUAGAAAUGACUGCUAAUACCGCAUAUGCCUUAGAAUCACAUGGUUCGAAAGGGAAAGGAGCAAUCCGCUGAUAGAUGGGCUUGCGUCUGAUUAGCUAGUUGGUGGGGUAAUGGCCUACCAAGGCGACGAUCAGUAGCCGAACUGAGAGGUUGAACGGCCACAUUGGGACUGAGAUACGGCCCAGACUCC
rnacentral:rRNA from 1 species